rnacentral:rRNA from 1 species
UACGGAGGAUCCAAGCGUUAUCCGGAAUCAUUGGGUUUAAAGGGUCCGUAGGCGGUCUUGUAAGUCAGUGGUGAAAGCCCAUCGCUCUACGGUGGAACGGCCAUUGAUACUGCAGGACUUGAAUUAUUGGGAAGUAACUAGAAUAUGUAGUGUAGCGGUGAAAUGCUUAGAGAUUACAUGGAAUACCAAUUGCGAAGGCAGGUUACUACCAAUUGAUUGACGCUGAUGGACGAAAGCGUGGGUAGCGAACAGG